rnacentral:rRNA from 1 species
UACGUAGGUGGCAAGCGUUAUCCGGAUUUACUGGGUGUAAAGGGCGUGUAGGCGGGACUGCAAGUCAGAUGUGAAAACUAUGGGCUCAACCCAUAGCCUGCAUUUGAAACUGUAGUUCUUGAGUACUGGAGAGGCAGGCGGAAUUCCGUGUGUAGCGGUGAAAUGCGUAGAUAUACGGAGGAACACCAGUGGCGAAGGCGGCCUGCUGGACAGCAACUGACGCUGAGGCGCGAAAGCGUGGGGAGCAAACAGG